AGGAGCCGGAUGCCCGAAUUGGGCACGUCCGGAUCUGUGGGAACCGCGGGUGAGCAAUCACCCGCGGUCACCCGGC
rnacentral:autocatalytically_spliced_intron from 1 species